CGCCGCCGAGGACUCAGCAGCCUCCCCCUUGAGCCCCCUCGCUUCCCGACGUUCCGUUCCCCCCUGCCCGCCUUCUCCCGCCGCCGCCGCCUUCCGCAGGCCGUUUCCACCGAGGAAAAGGAAUCGUAUCGUAUGUCCGCUAUCCAGAACCUCCACUCUUUCGAAGUUUGCCUGCAAUGGUACUGUAAUUGAGCAUCCGGAAUAUGGAGAAGUAAUUCAGCUACAGGGUGACCAACGCAAGAACAUAUGCCAGUUCCUCGUAGAGAUUGGACUGGCUAAGGACGAUCAGCUGAAGGUUCAUGGGUUUUAAGUGCUUGUGGUUCAUUGAAGCUUAAGUGAGGAUUUCCUUGCAAUGAGUAGAAUUUCCCUUCUGUCCCUUGUCACAAGUUUAAAAACCUCACAGCUUGUAUAAUGUAACCAUUUGGGGUCCGCUUUUAACUUGGACUAGUGUAACUCCUUCAUGCAAUAAACUGAAAAGAGCCAUGAUGUCUAGUCUUGAAGUCCCUCAUUUAAACAGAGGUCAAGCAAUAGGCGCCUGGCAGUGUCAAACCUGAAAGCAAGCAGUACCGUCAUGUUUCAGCCAAGCCCAGAGCCCUAAGAUCACAAACAACUAUGGCCGGAACCUCCUCGGCUCUCCCUCUGCAGAGUUCCCUACCCUAAGAGAAUGUUACCACCUGAACAGUCCUCGGUGAGUCUGAGAGGAAAAGGAUGGGGUAAGGCAGAAGCACCAGCUGUACUACUAGAAGGGAGUUUUUGGUGGUAGAUCCCCUGGUGUCUCCAACCUGACCAGGUGGACAGAGCUCAAAGAGGCCCCCUUCCUGCUAGAGAGGUUAUAGGACAUCUGGCUUGCCACAAAGGUCUGUUUGACCAAACAUAACCUAGCUAAGGGAUGUCCAGACAUCAGAAUGUGAGGCCAACCUUCUAUCAGAGUUAAACUUUUGACAAGGGAACAAAUCUCAAACUGAUCCAUCAGUCAUGUAGCUAGCUGUAGAGCUUGCAACUUAAUAGCAGCAGCUGCCCAAUGCCAUGUGAAGUAACAAACUGGUUUUUGGUUUUUUUUUCCCUUCAGUUUUAAUGUUAUGUGUAAUGUAUUUAAACCCUUAUUUAAAUAAAA
rnacentral:sRNA from 1 species